CUCCCGUAUCCCAGACUUUUCUUCUGAAGGCCUGUUAAUUAUUUCUGGGAGAUAUCAGGGAAAUUUCCCUGAAACUGUUAAAGCUAAAGGUAUUUUAGGAGAUUUGAGUAAUUUUGUUAUGGACUUGAAGAUACAAAAGGAAAAAGACAUGCCUUUUGACAGGAUUUUUGCAAAGCAACGGAUUGAUCUACUCACAGCCCAGGCAUGGUUUUCAGAAAACAAACGGCUUGAGGAGAAGGUUGCCAAAAUGAGCAUACAAACAGGUGUUGUGUCUGAAUAUACUCG
rnacentral:misc_RNA from 1 species